rnacentral:rRNA from 1 species
UACGAAGGGGGCUAGCGUUGCUCGGAAUCACUGGGCGUAAAGCGCCCGUAGGCGGCUUUUUAAGUCAGGGGUGAAAUCCUGGAGCUCAACUCCAGAACUGCCUUUGAUACUGGGAAUCUCGAGUCCGGGAGAGGUGAGUGGAACUGCGAGUGUAGAGGUGAAAUUCGUAGAUAUUCGCAAGAACACCAGUGGCGAAGGCGGCUCACUGGCCCGGUACUGACGCUGAGGUGCGAAAGCGUGGGGAGCAAACAGG